rnacentral:rRNA from 1 species
UCAUUAUUGAAUAAACCUGAUGGGUUGUUGCUGGUUUCUAGGAGCAUGUGCACGCCUGUCAUCUUUAUCCAUCCACCUGUGCACAUUUUGUAGUCUUGGAGUAAUGAGCGUAUAACAUAUCGAGGGACCAACUUUGGUCCUCGGACAGAGGCCUGCCAUGCAAUAGUGUGGCUUUCCUUAAUACUUGCGCAAGUUCUCUGAGUCUAUGUCUUUCAUAUACCACAUCAAAUGUAAUAGAAUGCUUUUAUUGGGACCUAGUGCCUAUAUAAUGAAAUACAACUUUCAGCAACGGAUCUCUUGGCUCUCGCAUCGAUGAAGAACGCAGCGAAAUGCGAUAAGUAAUGUGAAUUGCAGAAUUCAGUGAAUCAUCGAAUCUUUGAACGCACCUUGCGCUCCUUGGUAUUCCGAGGAGCAUGCCUGUUUGAGUGUCAUUUAAUUCUCAACCCCUCCAGCUUUUCGUGGCUGGCUUGGUGGCUUGGAUGUGGGGGAUUCUUGCGGGCCUCUAAGAGGUCGGCUCCCCUGAAAUGCAUUAGUGGAACCGUUUGCGGGACCGUUCACUGGUGUGAUAAUUAUCAUCACCGAAGACAACCGCUCUCAUGUAGUUCUGCUUCUAAUCGUCCUUUCCCAUGGACAAUAAUGUUUGAAUGCUUGACCUCAAAUCAGGUAGGACUACCCGCUGAACUUAAGCAUAUCAAUAAGCGGAGGAAAAGAAACUAACAAGGAUUCCCCUAGUAACUGCGAGUGAAGCGGGAAAAGCUCAAAUUUAAAAUCUGGCGGUCUUUGGCCGUCCGAGUUGUAAUCUAGAGAAGCGUCACCCGCGCUGGACCGUGUACAAGUCUCCUGGGAUGGAGCGUCAUAGAGGGUGAGAAUCCCGUCUCUGACACGGACUACCAGGGCUUUGUGGUGCGCUCUCAAAGAGUCGAGUUGUUUGGGAAUGCAGCUCUAAACGGGUGGUAAAUUCCAUCUAAAGCUAAAUAUUGGCGAGAGACCGAUAGCGAACAAGUACCGUGAGGGAAAGAUGAAAAGAACUUUGGAAAGAGAGUUAAACAGUACGUGAAAUUGCUGAAAGGGAAACGCUUGAAGUCAGUCGCGUUGGCCGGGGAUCAGCCUCGCUCUUGCGUGGUGUACUUCCUGGUUGACGGGUCAGCAUCAAUUUUGGCCGCUGGAAAAAGGAUUAGGGAAUGUGGCAUCUUCGGAUGUGUUAUAGCCCUUUUUCAUAUACAGCGGUUGGGAUUGAGGAACUCAGCACGCCGCAAGGCCGGGUUUCGACCACGUUCGUGCUUAGGAUGCUGGCAUAAUGGCUUUAAUCGACCCGUCUUGAAACACGGACCAAGGAGUCUAACAUGCCUGCGAGUGUUUGGGUGGAAAACCCGAGCGCGUAAUGAAAGUGAAAGUUGAGAUCCCUGUCGCGGGGAGCAUCGACGCCCGGACCAGAACUUUUGGGACGGAUCUGCGGUAGAGCAUGUAUGUUGGGACCCGAAAGAUGGUGAACUAUGCCUGAAUAGGGUGAAGCCAGAGGAAACUCUGGUGGAGGCUCGUAGCGAUUCUGACGUGCAAAUCGAUCGUCAAAUUUGGGUAUAGGGGCGAAAGACUAAUCGAACCAUCUA